rnacentral:rRNA from 1 species
AUGGCUCACCUAGGCGACGAUACAUAGCCGACCUGAGAGGGUGAUCGGCCACACUGGGACUGAGACACGGCCCAGACUCCUACGGGAGGCAGCAGUAGGGAAUCUUCGGCAAUGGGGGCAACCCUGACCGAGCAACGCCGCGUGAGUGAAGAAGGUUUUCGGAUCGUAAAGCUCUGUUGUAAGUCAAGAACGGGUGUGAGAGUGGAAAGUUCACACUGUGACGGUAGCUUACCAGAAAGGGACGGCUAACUACGUGCCAGCAGCCGCGGUAAUACGUAGGUCCCGAGCGUUGUCCGGAUUUAUUGGGCGUAAAGCGAGCGCAGGCGGUUUGAUAAGUCUGAAGUUAAAGGCUGUGGCUCAACCAUAGUUCGCUUUGGAAACUGUCAAACUUGAGUGCAGAAGGGGAGAGUGGAAUUCCAUGUGUAGCGGUGAAAUGCGUAGAUAUAUGGAGGAACACCGGUGGCGAAAGCGGCUCUCUGGUCUGUAACUGACGCUGAGGCUCGAAAGCGUGGGGAGCGAACAGGAUUAGAUACCCUGGUAGUCCACGCCGUAAACGAUGAGUGCUAGGUGUUGGAUCCUUUCCGGGAUUCAGUGCCGCAGCUAACGCAUUAAGCACUCCGCCUGGGGAGUACGACCGCAAGGUUGAAACUCAAAGGAAUUGACGGGGGCCCGCACAAGCGGUGGAGCAUGUGGUUUAAUUCGAAGCAACGCGAAGAACCUUACCAGGUCUUGACAUCCCGAUGCUAUUUCUAGAGAUAGAAAGUUACUUCGGUACAUCGGUGACAGGUGGUGCAUGGUUGUCGUCAGCUCGUGUCGUGAGAUGCUGGGUUAAGUCCCGCAACGAGCGCAACCCCUAUUGUUAGUUGCCAUCAUUCAGUUGGGCACUCUAGCGAGACUGCCGGUAAUAAACCGGAGGAAGGUGGGGAUGACGUCAAAUCAUCAUGCCCCUUAUGACCUGGGCUACACACGUGCUACAAUGGUUGGUACAACGAGUUGCGAGUCGGUGACGGCGAGCUAAUCUCUUAAAGCCAAUCUCAGUUCGGAUUGUAGGCUGCAACUCGCCUACAUGAAGUCGGAAUCGCUAGUAAUCGCGGAUCAGCACGCCGCGGUGAAUACGUUCCCGGGCCUUGUACACACCGCCCGUCACACCACGAGAGUUUGUAACACCCGAAGUCGGUGAGGUAACCUUUUGGAGCCAGCCGCCUAAGGUGGGACAGAUGAUUGGGGUGAAGUCGUAACAAGGUA